rnacentral:rRNA from 1 species
CGUUAUGGGGGAAGUGGGUGAUCCUAUGCUGUCGAGAAAAACCUCUAGCGAGCUACGCGCCGCCCGUACCCCAAACCGACUCAGGUGAUCAGGUAGAGAAUACUAAGGCGAUCGAGCAAACCAUGGUUAAGGAACUCGGCAAAAUGCCCCCGUAACUUCGGGAGAAGGGGGGCCGGAUACGUGAACCACCUAGCGUGGGGAAGCGUUGAUGGCCGCAGAGACCAGGCCCAAGCGACUGUUUACUAAAAACACAGGUCCGUGCGAAGUUGUAAGACGAUGUAUACGGACUGACUCCUGCCCGGUGCUGGAAGGUUAAGGGGACCGGUAAGAACUUCGGUUCGAAGCUGAGAACUUAAGCCCCAGUAAACGGCGGUGGUAACUAUAACCAUCCUAAGGUAGCGAAAUUCCUUGUCGGGUAAGUUCCGACCUGCACGAAUGGAGUAACGACUUGGGCGCUGUCUCAACCGUGGACUCGGCGAAAUUGCACUACGAGUAAAGAUGCUCGUUACGCGCGGCAGGACGGAAAGACCCCGGGACCUUUACUAUAGUUUGGUAUUGGUGUUUGGUUCGGCUUGUGUAGGAUAGGUGGGAGACUUUGAAGCAUCAACGCCAGUUGGUGUGGAGUCAACGUUGAAAUACCACUCUGGUCGUACUAGAUGUCUAACCUAGGACCAUUAUCUGGUUCAGGGACAGUGCCUGAUGGGUAGUUUAACUGGGGCGGUUGCCUCCUAAAAUGUAACGGAGGCGCUCAAAGGUUCCCUCAGCCUGGUUGGCAAUCAGGUGGCGAGUGUAAGUGCACAAGGGAGCUUGACUGUGAGACAGACAUGUCGAGCAGGGACGAAAGUCGGAACUAGUGAUCCGGCGUCGGCAUGUGGAAGCGACGUCGCUCAACGGAUAAAAGGUACCCCGGGGAUAACAGGCUGAUCUUCCCCAAGAGUCCAUAUCGACGGGAUGGUUUGGCACCUCGAUGUCGGCUCGUCGCAUCCUGGGGCUGGAGUAGGUCCCAAGGGUUGGGCUGUUCGCCCAUUAAAGCGGCACGCGAGCUGGGUUUAGAACGUCGUGAGACAGUUCGGUCCCUAUCCGCCGCGCGCGCAGGAAACUUGAGAAAGGCUGUCCCUAGUACGAGAGGACCGGGAUGGACGAACCUCUGGUGUGCCAGUUGUCCCGCCAGGGGCACGGCUGGUUGGCUACGUUCGGAAGUGAUAACCGCUGAAUGCAUCUAAGCGGGAAGCACGUUUCAAGAUGAGGUUUCCCACCGGGUUAACCGGGUAAGGCCCCCAGCAGAACACUGGGUUGAUAGGCCGGAGGUGUACAGCAGCAAUGCCCAGCCGACCGGUACUAAUAGGCCGAGGGCUUGUCCCA